rnacentral:rRNA from 1 species
CAAAGGAAGCGAUUCCGGCGGGGGAUGGGCAUGCGGCGCAUUAGCUAGUCGGCGGGGUAACGGCCCACCGAGGCGACGAUGCGUAGGGGUUCUGAGAGGAAGGUCCCCCACACUGGUACUGAGACACGGACCAGACUCCUACGGGAGGCAGCAGUGAGGAAUAUUGGUCAAUGGGCGGGAGCCUGAACCAGCCAAGUCGCGUGAGGGAAGACGGUCCUACGGAUUGUAAACCUCUUUUGCCGGGGAGCAACGGGGUCCUUGCGAGGGCCCAAUGAGAGUACCCGGAGAAAAAGCAUCGGCUAACUCCGUGCCAGCAGCCGCGGUAAUACGGAGGAUGCGAGCGUUAUCCGGAUUUAUUGGGUUUAAAGGGUGCGUAGGCGGGCUGUUAAGUCAGCGGUCAAAUGUCGGGGCUCAACCCCGGCCUGCCGUUGAAACUGGCGGCCUCGAGUGGGCGAGAAGUAUGCGGAAUGCGUGGUGUAGCGGUGAAAUGCAUAGAUAUCACGCAGAACUCCGAUUGCGAAGGCAGCAUACCGGCGCCCGACUGACGCUGAGGCACGAAAGCGUGGGUAUCGAACAGGAUUAGAUACCCUGGUAGUCCACGCAGUAAACGAAGAAUGCUAGCUGUCCGGGACUUCGGUCCUGG